CUCUGAAUGCUUUGGCGACGAUCGCUCUCGAAGAGGCGUGAUGACCGCAGGUUCCCGAGUGAAUUUCUUCCUGGAUUAACUGUCCCUCCUCUGGGGAUAUGCAUCGUUGAAGAACGCCUGAAACGCUUUCCUUGUACAACUGGUCGUCAAUGACAGUGAACGACUUCGACCUGCGGACUAUCUGCCUGGCCUGGACUUCGUCU
rnacentral:lncRNA from 1 species